UACGAAGGGGGCUAGCGUUGUUCGGAAUUACUGGGCGUAAAGCGAACGUAGGCGGUGUUCCAUGUCAGAGGUGAAAGCCUGGGGCUCAACUCCAGAAUUGCCUUUGAAACGGGGACGCUUGAGUCCGAGAGAGGGUGGCGGAAUUCCUAGUGUAGAGGUGAAAUUCGUAGAUAUUAGGAAGAACACCAGUGGCGAAGGCGGCCACCUGCUCGGUACUGACGCUCAGGUUCGAAAGCGUGGGGAGCAAACAGG
rnacentral:rRNA from 1 species